GGGGAAUAUUGCACAAUGGGGGAAACCCUGAUGCAGCGACGCCGCGUGGAGGAAGAAGGUCUUCGGAUUGUAAACUCCUGUUGUUGGGGAAGAUAAUGACGGUACCCAACAAGGAAGUGACGGCUAACUACGUGCCAGCAGCCGCGGUAAAACGUAGGUCACAAGCGUUGUCCGGAAUUACUGGGUGUAAAGGGAGCGCAGGCGGGAAGACAAGUUGGAAGUGAAAUCUAUGGGCUCAACCCAUAAACUGCUUUCAAAACUGUUUUUCUUGAGUAGUGCAGAGGUAGGCGGAAUUCCCGGUGUAGCGGUGGAAUGCGUAGAUAUCGGGAGGAACACCAGUGGCGAAGGCGGCCUACUGGGCACCAACUGACGCUGAGGCUCGAAAGUGUGGGUAGCAAACAGGAUUAGAUACCCUGGUAGUCCACACCGUAAACGAUGAUUACUAGGUGUUGGAGGAUUGACCCCUUCAGUGCCGCAGUUAACACAAUAAGUAAUCCACCUGGGGAGUACGACCGCAAGGUUGAAACUCAAAGGAAUUGACGGGGGCCCGCACAAGCAGUGGAGUAUGUGGUUUAAUUCGACGCAACGCGAAGAACCUUACCAAGUCUUGACAUCCCUUGACAGGCAUAGAAAUAUGUUUUCUCUUCGGAGCAAGGAGACAGGUGGUGCAUGGUUGUCGUCAGCUCGUGUCGUGAGAUGUUGAGUUAAGUCCCGCAACGAGCGCAACCCUUAUGGUCAGUUACUACGCAAGAGGACUCUGGCCAGACUGCCGUUGACAAAACGGAGGAAGGUGGGGAUGACGUCAAAUCAUCAUGCCCUUUAUGACUUGGGCUACACACGUACUACAAUGGCGUUAAACAAAGAGAAGCAAGACCGCGAGGUGGAGCAAAACUCAGAAACAACGUCCCAGUUCGGACUGCAGGCUGCAACUCGCCUGCACGAAGUCGGAAUUGCUAGUAAUCGUGGAUCAGCAUGCCACGGUGAAUACGUUCCCG
rnacentral:rRNA from 1 species